rnacentral:rRNA from 1 species
GACGAACGCUGGCGGCGUGCUUAACACAUGCAAGUCGAACGAAGAGCGAUGGAAGCUUGCUUCUAUCAAUCUUAGUGGCGAACGGGUGAGUAACGCGUAAUCAACCUGCCCUUCAGAGGGGGACAACAGUUGGAAACGACUGCUAAUACCGCAUACGAUCUAACCUCGGCAUCGAGGAAAGAUGAAAGGUGGCCUCUAUGUAUAAGCUAUCACUGAAGGAGGGGAUUGCGUCUGAUUAGCUAGUUGGAGGGGUAACGGCCCACCAAGGCGAUGAUCAGUAGCCGGUCUGAGUGGAUGAACGGCCACAUUGGGACUGAGACACGGCCCAGACUCCUACGGGAGGCAGCAGUGGGGAAUCUUCCGCAAUGGACGAAAGUCUGACGGAGCAACGCCGCGUGAGUGAUGACGGCCUUCGGGUUGUAAAGCUCUGUUAAUCGGGACGAAAGGCCUUCUUGCGAAUAGUGAGAAGGAUUGACGGUACCGGAAUAGAAAGCCACGGCUAACCACGUG